UCUAAACUUCGGAAAACCAGUUGUGGACGGAGGUAUUUGGCAGCCUGAUUCCAGAUCAUUGUUGUAAUACCAACAUCCCUUCCUUCAUUCACAGGUGGGAAUGCUCCAUCUAUUCCCCCAGUGUUUUGUGCGGAACAAAAGCCCCUGGGCUACCAAGAGGCCAGAAGGAAUGAAAGAAGCCGAGAGACCCCGCAGGGGAACCCUCUGUCGCUCAACGCUUCUCAAAGCAGGAUGUCCUGCUGCUACUGCAGCUUCGUGAGGCAGAGCUAAUUGCAACAGGGAUCCUAGAGCAAUGACAUCUUGCAGGAAUGGAAGCAAUAAGCUCCACAGGAGAAGGUGGGCUUGUGCCUUUAGACCUCGGGAGUGGCGUCUCCAGGUUUUCCUGUGUGGUUUUACCAAUGUAAUGGGCCCUCCUACCUUUUACGUAGGUGUCUCUGAACAUUUGAGCUCACGUAUAUUAAAGAUACACACUGCUUCUUGUCCUGAGCACCUUUGUGAUACGGGAUGCUGAAAGAGACUGCCUGGCCGUGAGUUUCUAGAAAACAUAUUGUGUAUUCAGAGCGGAACGUUUGGAGAACGGAGGCCUGUCUGUAAAUGGCUUGUCUUUUUUUUAUUUUAAUCGGAAUUGAAAUUUCUGCACUUGAAGAAAUACAGAAUGAUCAUUAAAAACACUUGGACUUUAGAAAUGACACCACCUGCUUCCUCUUCCUCUUUUUUAUUGUGACAGUGGGAAAAAAUCCUUAAAUCUUCAACUGGGGAAAUGUGCACUAAUGGGGAAACAGACCUCUGAGGAGCCGGCAGACUGACAAGCUGUUCAGGAGCAUGAGGCUUUUCAGCAAAUAACAUUCACUUCUCUGGUAGCUUUCGGUAGAUUAUGUCAUAUCGAGAAGUCCAUACUUAUUUGAACCCAGCAAAGUGAAUGAAUAACAGAUACAUAAUGAGCAUCCAUGAAAAAGGGGAAGAACAUCUCCGAUAUAAGGUGAAGAUUAAGAGGGGCAGAGCCACCAGUGAGCUGGGAAUGUGUUGCCUUCUGAGUGACAUUCAGUUCUAUCACACAGCAGCUCAUUACGCAGUCUGUUUAUACCAGAGGGAAACAAAUAUAAAAGUUAGUCCUUUAUAUUUCACAUUAAAUGCAAAGAGUUCAAGGGGACCGGAAGACUUCAUUAUGGAAUCUGAUACCACCCUUUAUAUUUUGCUGGGUUGGAAUAAUUUGAGUAGGUUUUUUAAAGACUUUAUAUCAAAUAUUUAAUUAACAUUUAUUCUGCAACUUUGGAGGCC